UCUCUUCACACCCUAAAAAGAAACCAACCCUAUUCUCGUGAUCCCUCUCUCACUCUGGCGAUUCCUCUCAUUUUCUUCUCCCAUCCCAACCCUAGCGAUUCUUCUCUCGUUGUGGCACUUCCACUCUCACGUUCCUCGAUAUGUCUACCAAUUUUGCUUCGUGAGAAACAGAAAACUAUCCUAGGAGCCAUUGAUGGGAGUAGUAGCUGCAAGACACAAAGCAACCUUAUAGCCUUCAAAGUACGUUAUUCUCUACUUGCUUCUAGUCUCACUCUCACCAGUUUUCUCAAUGCAAUUCAACACCAUACAAGUUUAACUUGCCAUGGGCUUUGCAAUGACUUUCUUAACGGCUUCAGCAUAAGUCCUGUGCUGAUAAGUGAGAGUUGAUUCAAGCAGGUCCCAAAGUGAGGUUUUAGGAUUCCAGCCUGAUAAAGAAGUAACACUCCAUUAACAGGUAAAAAGGAGUUAUUUUGAAGAAGUGUUAAAGUUGAUGUCUCGCUAAGCGAGCUCAAUGCGUUUAGCGAGUGUCAUCCGCUAAGUGAGGCAUCAACACGCUUAGUGGAUAGGAGGAAUCUGGAAGGGAAUCUGUCACGCAGGCAUGUGCUCAGCGUGUCAUCAGCUCGCUCAGUGAGUCGUUUGUCACCUUUCAGGCUUAGCGCGAGUUUGGCGCUGAGCGAAAGUUCACUUACUCACGCUUAGCACGAGAAUGGCGCUAAGAGCGCCUUCGUGGACAAGAAGCCCUUUUUUAAGCUUGAUUUGCGGAGAAUGAAAGGAGAGGAAAAAUAGAGAGAAGGAAUAGCCGUCAGAGCUUAAAGAGUGAAAUAUACAGAGGCAAAGAACAAAGCAAGAAGCCAAGUUUUGAUCUUUUAGGAAGAUUUGUGAGUUUUUGAGUGAUUGUGAGAUUCCUAGAGGUGGAGGAGAUAUCCUCACUCCUUUUUAAGCAAGCAAUUUCUCCUAAUUCCUCUUCUUCACUAUAAAAAGAGCUUCCUUGCUAUGGAAGGCUAAACCCUCAGUUGGGGAUUCUUGUUGAGUA